UGCUAAUACCGCAUACGCCCUACGGGGGAAAGGAGGGGACCUUCGGACCUUUCGCGAUUGGAUGAACCUAGGUGGGAUUAGCUAGUUGGUGAGGUAAUGGCUCACCAAGGCGACGAUCCCUAGCUGUUCUGAGAGGAUGAUCAGCCACACUGGGACUGAGACACGGCCCAGACUCCUACGGGAGGCAGCAGUGGGGAAUAUUGCACAAUGGGCGAAAGCCUGAUGCAGCCAUGCCGCGUGUGUGAAGAAGGCCUUCGGGUUGUAAAGCACUUUCAGUAGGGAGGAAAGGGUAUUGCUUAAUACGUAAUAUUUGUGACGUUACCUACAGAAGAAGGACCGGCUAACUCCGUGCCAGCAGCCGCGGUAAUACGGAGGGUCCGAGCGUUAAUCGGAAUUACUGGGCGUAAAGCGUGCGCAGGCGGUUUGUUAAGCCAGAUGUGAAAUCCCCGGGCUCAACCUGGGAAUUGCAUUUGGAACUGGCGAACUAGAGUCUGGUAGAGGGGGGUAGAAUUCCAGGUGUAGCGGUGAAAUGCGUAGAGAUCUGGAGGAAUACCGGUGGCGAAGGCGGCCCCCUGACAAAGACUGACGCUCAUGC
rnacentral:rRNA from 1 species